rnacentral:rRNA from 1 species
GCUGAAACACCAGCUUGCUGGUGUGGAUGAGUGGCGAACGGGUGAGUAAUACGUGAGUAACCUGCCCUUGACUCUGGGAUAAGCCCGGGAAACUGGGUCUAAUACUGGAUACUACAUGUCACCGCAUGGUGGUGUGUGGAAAGGGUUUACUGGUCUUGGAUGGGCUCACGGCCUAUCAGCUUGUUGGUGAGGUAAUGGCUCACCAAGGCGACGACGGGUAGCCGGCCUGAGAGGGUGACCGGCCACACUGGGACUGAGACACGGCCCAGACUCCUACGGGAGGCAGCAGUGGGGAAUAUUGCACAAUGGGCGAAAGCCUGAUGCAGCGACGCCGCGUGAGGGAUGACGGCCUUCGGGUUGUAAACCUCUUUCAGCAGGGAAGAAGCCACAAGUGACGGUACCUGCAGAAGAAGCGCC